UGGCGGGACGGGUGAAGUAACGCGUGGGAACCUGCCCUGUACAGGGGGAUAACACUUAGAAAUAGGUGCUAAUACCGCAUAAGCGCACGGUUCCGCAUGGAACAGUGUGAAAAACUCCGGUGGUAUACGAUGGAUCCGCGUCUGAUUAGCCAGUUGGUGGGAUAACGGCCCACCAAAGCGACGAUCAGUAGCCGGCCUGAGAGGGUGAACGGCCACAUUGGGACUGAGACACGGCCCAAACUCCUACGGAAGGCAGCAG
rnacentral:rRNA from 1 species